rnacentral:pre_miRNA from 1 species
UCUUCAUUCUUCACACUCUCUCAUCGGUCACAGGGGCGAGAGAGUGUGUGAAGUGGAGAGA